rnacentral:rRNA from 1 species
UACGUAGGGGGCAAGCGUUGUCCGGAAUCAUUGGGCGUAAAGAGCGUGUAGGCGGCCCGAUAAGUCCGCCGUGAAAGUCCAGGGCUCAACCCUGGAAUGCCGGUGGAAACUGUCGGGCUCGAGUCCGGAAGGGGCAAGUGGAAUUCCUGGUGUAGCGGUGAAAUGCGCAGAUAUCAGGAGGAACACCAAUGGCGAAGGCAGCUCGCUGGGACGGUACUGACGCUGAGACGCGAAAGCGUGGGGAGCAAACAGG